GACGAACGCUGGCGGCGUGCUUAACACAUGCAAGUCGAACGGAAAGGCCCUGCUUUUGUGGGGUGCUCGAGUGGCGAACGGGUGUGUAACACGUGAGUAACCUGCCCUUGACUUUGGGAUAACUUCAGGAAACUGGGGCUAAUACCGGAUAGGAGCUCCUGCUGCAUGGUGGGGGUUGGAAAGUUUCGGCGGUUGGGGAUGUGCUCGCGGGUUACCAGCUUGUUGGGGGGGUAGUGGCUUACCAAGGUUUCGACGGGUAGGCCGCCUGAGAGGGUGACCAGCCGCAAUGGGACCUAGGGACGGCCCAGGCGGGUACGGUGGGGAAAAGGGGGAAAGAUUGACCAAGCGGCGGAAGGCGGGUGAAGAAGCGCCGCGGUCGGGAAGACGGCCUUCGGGGGGAAAACCGAAUUUGCCUGUGACGAAGCGGGUGUGAAGGUAAUGGGUAAAGAAGCACCGGCUAACUACGUG
rnacentral:rRNA from 1 species